UACGAAGGGUGCUAGCGUUGUUCGGAAUCACUGGGCGUAAAGCGUGCGUAGGCGGCUUUACAAGUCAGGGGUGAAAUGCCAAGGCUUAACCUUGGAACUGCCUUUGAAACUGUAGAGCUGGAGUGUCGGAGGGGAUAGCGGAAUUUCUAAUGUAGCGGUGAAAUGCGUAGAUAUUAGAAGGAACACCGGUGGCGAAGGCGGCUAUCUGGACGACAACUGACGCUGAGGCACGAAAGCGUGGGGAUCAAACAGGAUUAGAUACCCUGGUAGUCCACGCUGUAAACGAUGGAUGCUAGCCGUCGGGGGGUUCCCCCUCGGUGGCGUAGCUAACGCGUUAAGCAUCCCGCCUGGGGAGUACGGUCGCAAGAUUAAA
rnacentral:rRNA from 1 species